rnacentral:rRNA from 1 species
CAGCAGCCGCGGGAAUACAGAGGGUGCGAGCGUUAAUCGGAUUUACUGGGCGUAAAGCGUGCGUAGGCGGCUAUUUAAGUCGGAUGUGAAAUCCCUGAGCUUAACUUAGGAAUUGCAUUCGAUACUGGGAAGCUAGAGUAUGGGAGAGGAUGGUAGAAUUCCAGGUGUAGCGGUGAAAUGCGUAGAGAUCUGGAGGAAUACCGAUGGCGAAGGCAGCCAUCUGGCCUAAUACUGACGCUGAGGUACGAAAGCAUGUGGAGCAAACAGGAUUAGAUACCCGCGUAGUCCCUGUCUCUUAUAC